CCUUGCUAGAGUAGACCCAGAAAAUACCAGGUGUGUUUUCGGUGAAAUAAUUCUGAAUCAUCUUCUCUUUUUUGAGGGAAUUGUUUUGCCCUAAGGACCAUUGCAGGAACAUUGAGCUUCUGCCCACAGUGGAUCAGCUCAGUAAAUGAACCUCUGGCAUGAUAUCUGGCGCUUCUGAUUCUAUGGGAAAUCAGCUGCCAGUGCUUUAAUUGCUAGGACCACUGUAAGAUUGCAUGCUUUCAAGGAUUCAAAACCCAAAUUUCUCUCAGUGUUUUGAAUUUUCAGACUUUCUGUGAGAGUUUCUGGAAACCAAAAUUUCAGUACGUUUUCCCCAGAGAUCUCACAGAUAUUUUGAAAGACAAAACAUUUUUAUUUGCCUUAAAAUAGACCCCAGGAGCACCUGGCAAGGACUGGUGUUAUAAAAACGAGAAACAACAGAGCAUCUGAAAGCAAAAAGCAGCCUUGGUGCCAGGCAGCAGAGCACUGGCAGUGACUUGUUGGGCUCUCCCAGCUCAUGCUCAUGGUGCCUAGAACAGCUUGGUUAGGCCUUUGAACUAGGAAAAAAGACUUGCUGCUUCCCAGGCUUUUCCAUACAUGCCUAGCCCUGCCACGUUCAGAAUGUGGCCCCUCCUUCUCUUGUAACCUUGAACAGGAAGGGCUCACAGUGUUCACUCCGACACUCCAACCUGUGUUCAUCCUACCAGAGUUCUUUCUGCCUUCCCUACGUGCAGCAACCUGUCUAAUCUCCAGGCAGUUAGUUGAAGAAGCAGUGCCCACGUUUGUGCAGCUGUGAUGGUAGCUGAGCUUCUGCUGACACAAGCAAGACUGUCCGUUUGAGUCACUGUGAGAGACUGACCUCACCCAGGAUGACUUUUACCUUUAACAGCUGGAGGACUCCUUGCUAAUGUGAGACCUGGCCUUUUUUUUUUUCUGCCUUCCAGCUCAACACACCACAGGCUGAUCAUCAAUAAAGGAAGAGGAAAUAAACAAGAGAUCCUAUUAUUAGUCCAUCACCUGCUCUUUCAUUGCUGCAGGGCUGCUCCUUUCUCUGACUGAAAAGUUUUCAAGAUGUUGUAACACAAAACAUUGCAUCCAGAAGGAGAGCAAGGCUAAGGAAAGCAGUAUGUUCCUCUGUAGUCCCUCUUUGCUCUGUAACAGUAAAACCUGACACUUUCUUGUGGUGAAUGACUAAAUAGUACAUUUGUAUAACUACUUAGCAGAACCAUUUUUCUCACUGAAGACCAAAUAAUUCUGCAAUACUUUAACCCCUGCAUUUUGGCUUGAGAUGUAGAAUCCUCAUCAAUCUCCAAACCUUCAUCAACCUUUUCAUCAAACCCUUUGUCCUAUCUACUUCUACCUGGUCUUACCAAAGAAUUCUGCCUUCUUGUUCCUAGUCAUCUCCCUUUCCACACGCCAGUUUAUUUUGGCCUCAUGACAUUUAUGGACACUUACCUGACAAGCAGGAAAAGAGAAUGGGAAAGAAGGAGCAGAAUUUAACACAGUGACAGUUGCUUCUAAAGCAUGAUGGAGUGAACGUCUGACUUUUUGCUGAAAUUAGUGCUAAGAUGCAGUGAAGCCAGGAUUUCAGGUUAAUAGUCUUGAAAGAAGAAUGACAGCCAUGACAUAGAUUUCUUGACUCUUCUCAUACACUUUUGCACCGGACAUGUAAUUUCCUGUUAGGGUUUACAGGAUUCUUCAAAAGAACCAAACAACACCACCACCAACAAAAUAAAACCCCGUAGAAGUAAUAAUUAUUAAUUUAUUAUGUUAAAAGAUUUUUCAUAAAGGAAUACUGGAGUCCUUUAUUCAUGAUUUCACAGUGCCUUUCUCACACUGCAUCUGAAUUAUAUUGCACUGCUUCCAGAAAAUGCAAAGAAAAACUGAAGUGCAGAAAUAAACUCUUAUUUCCACUUUUAUUAGACAAGUUUACAUGGUGAUUCAGUGAAUCUAUAAGAAGGAUGUCAUGCUUCAGGAGACAAGAUAGCAGCAACAUAGGUGUGUUAAGGCCCAUGUGCAGACCUUCAUUGGUCUUAUUGUGACCCAAAGAUAGGGAUUUGGAAUCGAUGGCAGUUUUAAUACUGCCUAAAGUCUCUAUCAGCCUAGAGCUGGGUACAACUCAUGUAGAUGUAUCAUACUUUCUGCCUUCCUUGAGGUCUUUAAGAGAAAGGAAUUAGCAAACAUGCAAUUUAAGAUGGUCUUUGUAUAAAACAAGCUCCAAGGAGAAUCAGAAUCUCUCCUUCCACAGCUAUUUUGUGUCAGACCUAUUUAGUUUCACCUUUAUAGAAAAGAUAAGUCCAGCUAAAUAGCUCACAGUUCUAAUUUUCGUAAGGAAUGAUCCACACAGCUCAAAUAAUAACCUCAGGCACAAAUGGCAGAAAGUGAAGCUUGUUUAUGGAGAGUGGCAAAUCUUUGAGUUGUACAUUCAGAGCUAUUUGUCCACAUAGUAAGAAGCACCAUGUUACUAGAUCAAAGGUGGCAAGGGCACAUCUGCAGUACUUAUAAAAUCCAUAGUAGCAGUAUUUACCAAUAAGAGCCUCCAAAUAUUCCCUGUUUUUGAAUCAGAUUAUGUACUAGAACAGCUGCAACAGACCAAACUGCAUAUCCAGUACCUGCUCAUCACAGCCAGUCUGGCAAAAAGACAAAGAGAACAAAUACAGCAAGCUUAAAUCCUCAAUCUUUGCAUCGUCUGUCAGCAACCAAAGCUGAUGGAAAACUAUGAAGUAAAACCAUCAGAAUAUUUAGCUGUAUUACAGCCAGGGCUGUUCAGCCUGCAGAAGAGAAAUAUCCAGGAAGACCUGAUAGUAGCCUUUCAGUAUCUAAAGGGGAGCAACCUGAUCUGGCUGUAGGUGUCCCUGUUCAUUGCAGGGGGGUUGGACAAGAUGGACUUUAAGGGUCCCUUCCAACUCAAGCAGUUCUGUGGUUGUAUGGACUCUGGUGGCUCGGGCACUCAGAUCUUUCCUUUAUGAGAAUCUCCAAGUAAGUGUUUCAGGAAUGUUCACAGCUACUUGUUUUUUACACUGAUGAGACUGAACAACUCUUAAGCUAAACUGGUGAAAUUCAUCCUGGGAAAAUGUGCUAAACCAAGCUUGCAUUUUAAAGAAAGAAUUUGUUUCCAGAAUGUUACUUGUUGUUUAGUGUAUUGAAUAAUUUUGGUCCCAGGGAUGGAGACAGGGUUUUGUUUAUUUAUCUGAAAAUCAGAAUUUUGCAGAGCUGUGCCAAGCUGUAAACUUUUCAAUUCUCUGAUCCUAGCACUCAGCACAGUGUCCAACAAAAGGCUGUACAAAGCCAGAGACCACUCGGGCUUCGCAGUUGCUGGCUUCAGUCGUCUUUACAAUUGUUUAUGUGAAUGCAGACCCGGGAACAGUGGCAUUAUGCCAGACCUUUCCCAGAAUCGCUGAGGGCUGAUACAGCUUCUCAUAUUAAUCCACCUCUGACAGUGCCACAACUGAGAAAACCCAGAGGGUAGCUGUGCCCUGACAGCAUCCCUCUUGCCAUGCCCUACAACACUGCUGGGGUUCUUACUUGAUGGAAAAAAUGAUUUGGCACAGACAGCCUUUGGUCAUCUGGGGAUGCCUUGCUAAGUCUUCUAUGGAACAGAGAUGUGGCCCUCCAUGAGUUUUUAUUGUAUUUUACUGAUAACAUCAAAUUCAACAAAGAAACACAGAAUAUUACGGCAAGGAAAAAAAGGAGAUGGGUAUAAAACAGCAAUAAAACUGAAAGGAAAUUCAGUUUUAGAAGUUUAAAUGCUUUCACACAGCUUCACUGCAGAGGCUUGACAGUCAAAUAUUAAACAUUACACCAUCUCACUGAAUUUUAUGUCAUUAUGGUAACAAUGUUAUUAAACUUGAUAUGGCUUUACUUUUAAUUUCAAUGAAACAUAUUUCCUGAUCUUUUCAUAAAAAUGACCUUUGGGAACCAUAACAAUCUAGGCAUUUCUUUAUUUAUCCUGCUGCAUCAGCUAAUACUUCCAAUCAGAAUCUAUAUCGAAAAGAAAAUGAAAGCCCUCACCAUAAUGUUGCUAGCUUGAUGUUUUAUUAGAACAAGAUAAAAGCUGGGUUUUAUGAAAUUACUUUGUGUGUUACUGUGAGCAAGACAGUGUCAGUGCAAUCUGCUUUUGUAAAGAUUACUUUAUAGUCUUUUUGUUUCUUUCCUGUAUUUGAUACCUACUUUUUCUGUUUUGAAAAGUUUACUUUUAUAAUACAGCCUUUUCACUAAGUAAAAAAAAAGCAAAUACAUUUGUGUGAUAUCUAAGCAAGCCAUUCUUUUUUUUUUUUUUUUUAAUAACCUUUUCAUGCUUUCCAUGGACAGAACAGCAGUAGUCAUUUCCACUGUUGGUUGAAUUUUAGAGACAGCUGGUGUUGCUGAGAGCCUAUGGGGUCCAUUAGACAACAAGUUGUGCAAGAGUCAGAAAAACUUGAAUCCUGCAUUUAACUCAGUUUUCCCACUGCCCUUCUCUGCACAACACUGUGGAAUUCAUAGAACACAGGAUUUUUUUUACCUCAGUUUUGGGUUAAUGAAAAAAUAAGCCUAAAGGACCUAAAGAACACUGAAAGUAUUGUCUGUACUUAACAGGCUUUGAGAAUGCUCUGAAUAUUUGAAAAUCAAACAGUUCUCUGAGUUGGACCCAGAAAAUGCCAAGUGUCCAAAAAUCACAGGGAACCACUCAAAAUGUGGACUUUGAAAUGCAGGCCAAGCCACAUUGCAAAAGAAAACCACUCUAAUAUUCAUAAAGUGGGGAAAAUGGAAAAUAAUCAGAAAUUCAUCUCAUUUUUGAGAAUAUGUAAAGUGAGAAGAAAAACAUUAAAAAAACAGAAAAGAAAGGAUCCCAUCCAUGCAGCAUUCAGAGUGGAGUUUGGUCAGGAGAAGAAAGGGGAUUACAUUCCACAAGCUGCAUUGCAUUAUGGACUGGAAAUAGCAAUAGAGAAAUAAAGCAAUAAAUGCAUAAAAGUAGGGGAAAAAAGAAACAGUUUUCAGAAUUACUGUAUUAAUUUGGAAUGAAUAUGCACUAGCGAAGUUGCUUUCUAGCUUGUCAGGUGGCAUAAUGACGAGGAACAGUACUGACUCAAAUUCAUGUAUGAUUAUUUCUUUAUUGCAUUCUAGGAUUUAGUGGAAUUUAGGAUAAAGCUAAAUCUCUCUCACAUUUAUGAUAAGAUCAACAAAAUGAAUUCUUACUAGUGUUUCUUUCCACAGUUGCCUUGAAUUGGCUGGGUGAUCACAAAUGUAAAUUACUCUCUUGGAGUUCUGAGUAGAAAACUGAAUCUCUUGAAAGAAGAUGCAAUAGGAAAAAUUCUUCCUUCACAUGUAACAUUUCCAAGAAGCAUGUUUCUCUGUCAGUGUAAUAAAAGGAAGAAUUAGAUCAAUAAUACUUUCCAUAAUUUUUUGACAUCAUCAUUUGAUUUUAGGCCUGGAUCUUCAUUAAUGCAGAAAAUGCUAAUUCAUUUUGUUGACCACAACAUCAUGCUUAAAUUAAAUAUUACUUAGCAACCAGUAUUCAGCUUAUUGCUGGCCUGAGAUCAUUCCGACUGUUAGGUCAAAUGAGGAAUUGGGAGAUCUGCGGUACAUAACAGUGGUAAAUAUUGUCCUGCAGAAAUUUACUUUGAUUUACAUGAAGAUGUGUUAUGAUCGCAGCCUGUUUUUUUUACAAUUGAAGCAUACUGGGAAUAGCCUAGACAAAACGUUUCUCCAUGCAACAGCAGAGACUCAACAGAUUCACAAACUAUUAGCUUGUCAGGUUCACACUUUCCAAUAAAAUGCCAUGGAAAUUUAAGCCAUAUUGUAUAAUAUGGUACAAACAUACCCAGUCUACACCCACUCAAGCACUUCUUAUUAGGCCAAAUCUCCCAACAACACACAAAAAGAUUUUUCAGGAGUUGGGAAUGUUUCAUCAGACCAUACAUGUCUAUGAAUAACAAGCUCAGGUUAAGUUGUCAGGUGUAAUGGGAUUAUAAGCAUCAAAAGCACGGAACGAAGGCAAUAGUGGUACAAGCUCUAAUUUUGCUAUUGCUUGAUAGGAGAUGAAAUUCACCAAAAGAUGUCUUAACCCCAAAGGAAGCAGGUGGCUUUCCUUGAGCCAGAGUGUCAUCCAUUGUUUUCAAGCGGCAGAGGUGACUGAUAGCAUCGUUGACAUGAAAAAUUAAGGUACUUUUUCCUUCAGAAAAGGCUUGUUUUUCAUAAAACAGAAUAACUGGAUGGAAGAAACCCUUUCUGAGGAGUGUUGGGGGUUUGUAAUGCUGCAUUCCUGUCGCUAUGUGGUGCUGUUCGAAGUUAUAAAGCCGAUCCUCUAGAACCUGCCUAUCUCAGGGUGUUAAGGAAAGGUUUGUCAGCAGGAGGUUGGGAUGGCUUCAGCAUGCACCAUCUACAGCAAAACCACCAAAUGCUGACGGUAAGCAGAUAUUUCUACUCUUGGGAAGGCUUUUUCAUGUUAUCUUUGUUAGUUGUGUUCAAGAUAAGGAGAGAGGUGAAGUUUGCUACUCUGUCCUUGGAGGUUUCCGCUCUCUCCAGAGCCUACAUGUUAGGUUUGGUAAGGGAAUUUGAUGUAAGAAGAUUUUAGGUGGAUGCAGCUAUUUUUCUGGAAGUUGAGUUUCUUUGCAGUGGCUACAACAGGCCAGGAAGAAAAAUUGAGAGUUGUAAAGUUUUAAAAUUAAACUUUAUGGUGCACCUUAUUUAAUAUGCUUUUUUUUUGAAAUCUCUUCAAGGGUCAAGGGUAGCUACUACAGCAAAGAGAAAGGAAAGGAAGAGGGAUAUCUGCAGUAUUGCAAACUCCUAUUUGAACUUGAUAAUGUGCUAAAGAACUUGUAUGAGAGUUUGGUUUUGUUUUUCCUUCAAAGGAGACUACUGAAUCUAUGGCAUAUCAAUCUGUAUUCUUUGUCUACUUGAUCACUCUUUGCUUGCUAAUGAGAAACUGAUGAUUUUUGACUUGCCUCUUUGGAUGAAGUGGGGCUGUAUUUGUAAGAGCAAGAAGAAUUUUUCUAGAACAUUUUAAAUCAUAUUGGAGUCAAAACCAUGUGUCCCUAGGCCAUAGCUUGAUACUCUGUCAGCCAAGAGCCAAUGCUGUAUUCAUCCUUAAAACUGAAAUAAGGAAUGGUCCAUAACUGUUGUGAUGUGGGCAUAGUGGCUCUAAGAAUCUGAAGGGAGUUGACCUUUUUCAUACUAAUGUUCCAUUGCUGCUAAUAAAAAAAAAGAAAAGAAAAAAGUGCCCCCCCCCCCCCCUUUUUUUCCCCAGAGAUAGGAAUAGAAAGAAAUAUUACUAAUCCUUUAGUAAGAUCUAUGUAUUCUAGUUGCGGUGAAAUGAGAAAGGUCAAAUUUUCUCUCCCAUCUCUCCCUCCCUUUUUUUUUUCAUAUUGUCCAAGUUCUCACCCAUCUUUGUUGUACUAAUGAAAUUAAGAUAUCCUUCAUGAUAUAACUGUGAGCUAGGGAGAUCUAAAUUACCUUCAUCUGGCAUCAUUCCAGGAUACUAUAAAUGAGGUAAUUGUCCUUGACUAUAAAAUUUGCAUUUUCAAGACUUAAUUGCUAUCAUUACAUCUUUUUGUAAUUCUAUUAAUUUAACUGAAUGGAGCAUUUGGUUUUAUGGUAAAAAUUUGCAUUAAAACAUUGUACAUUUAAAUAGAAUUUUAAUAUUUGCGUCAAAAGCUCAGUACAGUUGUCCCACAGGACCUAAAUAAUUUCACAAGAAGAGAAUUGUAAGCAGUCACACUUUGGGUCAACAAACAGGUUUUCCUUUGGUGAAUAUUAAUAUAACUUGCUGUUAGAGACACUAUGUACUGAAAAUCACUCCUGUCCAAGUUCUGUAAAAGCGUCUGUGAGCUCUGAGCCAUAAUUGCUAACAGGAAAUGUAUUUUAACAGCUACACUGUUUGUUCACAGAAAAGAAAUGUGCCAAAGAGCUCUGUAUUAUUAAGGAAUGGUCUUCCUCUUUUGAGUCCUCCUACCCUAGUUAGGCUGUAUGCUUUGUUAUGGCCUGAGAAAUCACUAAGUAUGCAAGCAAUGCCUUCUGUACGAUCGUCUGUCUGCUCAUAGUUGUCUAGCCAUCUUCCACUGUGCUGUUAAAUGUGGUAAUUGGUUAGUAUGCUGGCAUCUUUUUGGGAAAUAUUUACAACCACCACAGGUUGGUGGCCCUGCCUGCAGCAGAGGGAUUGGAACUUGAUGAUCCUUGGGUGUCCCUUCCAACCCAAGCCAUUUUAUGAUUCCAUGAUUCUGUGAUUUGAAGGAACAGAACUUCAUGUCUGGUCUUUGAAGGUAUUUAAGCCACUAGAUCUCAUGGGAAGCAGAUCGUGUGUGGGUCUGGAGGCCCUGUCUUGGAUGGGCACUGCAGGUAAAAAUGAGUACAUGGAUGUGCUGACAGAAUUCCGUGCUGACAGGAUUCCAUUCUGGUCAGAAAAGCCUAUGCUAUUCUCUAUGCUGUCCUGACAGAUGUUUUAGAGUUGUAUAACAUAUUAUUUGUGGAAGUAAUCAAGCUAGAUUUGUUUUAUAUUUAAUGCAUCUGUAUUUUUUUCUCUUGAGUUUUUUUUCCUGCAACAUGUGAGUAAUAUUUUACAAGAGGGAGUCUGCUUGUGACAGAAAUCUCAUUAACUACUCUUAAUAUAUGUUGUAUUUGCUGGACUUCAUAAUCAUUGUGUAAUUAAGCUUCACAACUCACUUGUGAAGCAGAAAAGAUGAAGGAUGUUUUUGUUAAAAAAAUUUAUGGGAUGUUGAAAUUAAAGACAGAUUUCUGAAAGUGUACAGGUACCACUUCUCACUGAUUUCAGUGCCUAAAUACCUAUGAGAGCAUGAAGAUCUUGCAAAACUGUCUAGUGAGCCAUUAGAACCAGACUAAAUUCUGAACUGGGAGAACAGGAUGAAGUCUUAAUGUGAGAUAAUGACUUUGGAGCAAGGGACACAGUUGUUUUGCCUUUUGCUCUUAAGUCUUGAAUGAGAAUCACAUUUCUUCACUUUGGGGACUGUUUGAUAGUUCAGUGUGUUCUGAGAAUACAUUUUAAAUAUGACUAAUUUAAGAGCAGGUACCCCUCCCUUUUUCUUCUAAGUCCAUUUACAUAUACAGUAUUUCUAUAGAGGUUUUUGUCUCCACUGGAUUCUGAGUUUCACGGACUGGGGAAAAAGGGCUGCUGAGAGCUACAGCUCAGCGUUGAGCCUCCAAAUCCUACAAGCAUUAGAUCUACAAUGCAGUUAGAUUCAGAGCUGUCUUUUUGGGCAUGUGCACAGGGUAAGAAGUCUCCCAGGGUAUCUGUUCUACUCAGAGGCUGUCUUUUCCACUUCAGGGAGGACCCUGUGUAUGUUCUUUCUUAACGGGUGAAUUUCAUUUGAUCUGAACAUUAUGCUAAGGCUGAAUUUCUAGGCAGUUUAUAUUAUAUUGCAUUAGGAAAAACAAACAAACAAAAACGCUUAUUCCUUUGAAAAACCCAGGUCUAGCUGUUAGCGUCAAUUACUUUAAGCACCUACUGAAUUUUCUGGCAUAUAUAUCUCAUCGAAUCUUGGGCGUGAUUUUAUGUGCUUUAAGCAUUUGAUCACAUAAUCAGUUUCUGCAAUGCAACACACAGAAUCCUGAGCAUUGUCCUGGCGGAUAGUCACGUCAAACCUGACACAAACAAACAUAAGGGAACAAUUGUUGUUAAAACACAUUGCAUCACAUUGCAUGUUAAAGCAUUUGCUCUGGUAAUCCACCAUGCUGACGUUUCCCUAUGCUGAUGCCAUCUGAGCAGGGACUGUAUCCUUAAAGUUGACAUGUGCAUCACAUUACAGCAGUGAUUUUGUUAUGUAUCAUUGGCAUAAUGGAUAUUCAGAAGAGAUUCAUAAUCUUGAAAGGUGGCUUGAAUCCACAGAUCUCAUCCAUAUUCUGGUGACUCAGAGCAUUGUGGAAACUCAUUUUAUAACGUCUCACGCUAUCUUGGGCAAAAGCAAAGUAAACAGUUGCCUAGAGCAGCAGACUUGGGAGAAAUGCUGUCCGGGUCUUGUUUCCUACUCCCUCUUUGCUGACGAAGAUAGGAGCAAAAUCUCUUUAACCUGCUUCUCCUGUGCCCCUCCUGCUCCCAUUUCUCCAGUUUAAUUCUGGUGGAAAUCCAGAGGCCUUUUUCUUCCCUCUCCCAGUCUCUUCUUCUCAUUCACUGUUACUCUUAAGUUGCUGAUUUCUCCAGACUCUUCUUCUCCUUGGAGUCUCCACUGCUUCUACUUAGGGUGUUUCAGCAGUGAGAGGAUUCACUGUCCUUUCUGCAUCUUUUUCUACUCCUGCAAAUAUUUGUAUUCCUUUUGGUAGCCUGAGCUAUGUGAGAAACGCACAUUCCUGCACAAAAGUAUUCUGGCUCACUUGCCUAUUGGUAGCUGUUCCUUUAAAAGAGCUUUUUCACACUGGAAAAAAACAGACAGACAUGGAAAUCUUUGCUGUAGUGCUCAUGUUUCAUGAGAUUAAACAAGACAAAAGUAAGAUGAUGUCAGCGUAUUACUGAAUCCCUGGGAAGGUGUGGCCUGUGCUGAUGGCAAUGCUAUUCACACAACAUAGAAGGCAAUUGCAGAGUUCAUUGCCAUGGGAUGUUAUAGAAGCCAAAAGGCAAGGGUGGCAAAUCAUUCCAUAAAUGGCUAUUAAAUGUAAUUAUCUAGAUGCAGUGUCAAGCUCAGGAAACACCUUUAACAGUGGCUGCCAGAAAGCUAUUUGGCUACAUCAGUGCAAGGAUCAUCUUCUCCAUGCUCUGCCCUUGCACUAUCUACAGCACUGACUGUCACUCCCUCUGUUCCUGAGAUGUGAUACUCUGCCAAAUUCACUUUUGGCCAUGUCUGUAUCAUAGGCUUUUGUUCUCAUGAGUUGCAUGACUAAAGAGACUAAUAAUUAGAUCGAAUCCAUUGUCUCUUCAUCCAGAGACUUUUAAGUUUUAACAUACGACCAAGAGUUCCUGCUUUAACAGUACGAAGGUUUGAGCUUUCAGUCUGUAAGUCAGAUGUGCCUAAUGGUUGAGGUGUACUACCGCAGAGUUAGUAAUCUGAAAGUUAACUUAUUUGAAAGAGAAGAGAAACCUACUCCACAUGGCAGUUCCUCCUGUGUGUUGAAAGCUUUCCUUAGCAUGAGAAAAAUUAUCAAGAUUGAGCCUUCUACUUCUCUUAUGACUUUUGUACUUUUGUCCAGUGAGCUUGGUAGCUUUGUCUGCAAAAUGAACAGAGUUCAGAGAGAAAAUGCUAUUUGUUCUUCCAAGCAAGAAAGCAAGUCCUUAGGUGGUAUGCAUGGGUGUUGUUCAUGCAUGUCCUACGUGUCCUUCCUAAUGGAUUUCUUUUUUCUUUGUCUCAAAGCUUUGGAUUGCCUUAACUUGCUGUAUUUGUCCAAUUCCACUUCCUUCUGGCAUACAUGUUAUAUACUCAUUCUUACAACCUGCACCAAAAGAAGCUGCAGAGAUGUGCCACCCUUUUACAGUAACAAAACAGCAACUUUCUUCCUGCAACUUCCUUAAAUCAGCAGAUUGGCAGUUUGAAUUUUCACUUACCAGAGUGAUGACAGAAGUCUGUGGAAGGCUUCUUCCAUGUUGGUAUAUGUACAGCAACUAUAUACAAAAGAGAGCUGCAGAUCUUUCUCUCAUUUGACUCAUUAUUUUUGCCUAAGGAAGUGGAGAACACAUAUGGAGGCAUUUAUAUAUUUAUUUACCUCACUGCCUCAGAUCCCUACUGGCAAUUGAUUGUUAUCAAUACAAUCUCGUGUAGGAAAGCAAGGAACUGUAAUAUGCCAAGUGUGAGGUCAGACAGGAUGAUUUUGCUUUCUACUCUCAAAAUCUUAAUUAGUACAAUACCUCCACUAGCUGUUGGAAUCUCGUUUGGAACAACUAAAAGUAGUGAGGCUGGUGGUGCUUUAGCUGAGAAGGCUUGCAGUGUGGCAAACAUAGCGUUGAUAGCUGAUGAUGUUCUUGCUCUCCAUUUUUAAUGUUGGUCAAAUUGCACUAAAGGAAGCUCUGUGAGCAUAACCGAGGGUAAAAUGUUGGCCUAGUGUUACUGGAGUUUAAUGGCAGAUUGCUAGCACCUUCUGGGUAUGACAAGGAUUUAGGACUACAGAUAUCAAUUGUAGCAGGGCCUUUGCCUGGGGCUCAAGGAGGUAGCCUGGGGAGGUUCAACAGGGGUUCAAGCAGGUAGAGCUGCCGGGAACUUCAGAACAUUACAAUUUUGACAUUCAGUACCUAACUACUCUUUAUUGCUGGGAAACACAUUAUUUCUUCUGUUCAGCUAGAGACUUCAGAAGGGUAGUAUCUCAGAGUGUUCUUUCUUAUCCUGUCCUCUGUUUAAGCAAGUCAAAAUUGGACUCUGUAUCUGUUCUUCUGUUAAAAAAAGUGUAUGUAGAUAUGUAUCUCUGAAAUAAACCUCCAAACAUUUGGAGGCUUGUCCUUCAUUAGCUGUAUAUGGCUUCUCUUCUACUUUCUAAUCUCUUAAACCUUUUACUUAGAAGGAAGAGACAGGGAUUUGUCUGAUAAUAAUUCUAUAGACAGUAAGUUGGACUCUGAUAAACUGAGCAAAGGGCCUCUAGAUGUAAGAGUGUAAUUAAAUGUGUAAAAGAAUUUUCCAUGCUUAUGCUAACCUCUGGAAGCAGGGUGCAAAAAUACAGUCUGCUGAGCAGUGCAAGAUAAGGACAUGAUCACGUACCUCAAACCCAGUGGUCCAUGUGCCUUCUCUCAGAGUCAUGUGUUAGCUCUCAUGUAAAUGAGGUUUAUAUCAGCAACACUACAUAGUGCUCAGUUUGUGGGUUUUGGUGACAGCUGUGUAUCCUGUUUGGUCUCAUCCAUUUCAGUCACACUAAUAGCUUCAAAGGUAUUAAGGUCCUUCUCAGCCCCAAGUGAACUUAAAGUUUUUGAUUUUGUUUGUGUUGAACACAAACAGUAUUGGCGUCUAUGCAGACACUAUGAGUAAAGCUGGAUUGCUCGGGGUGCUAUGCAAGGAUUGACACGUAUGUUUAGCAGGGAGGCAUGCUAAAUGAGAAAACAGAAUUUUUCAGAUCUUUCCAGGUGUGAUCUUUUUUUACCUCUUGAUGAUGAUCUGUAGAGUUGGGUCCUCAAGAGUGAUCUUAAGAUUCACAGAAAUUGUUAGGCUCAAAGAACAUGAAUACAUUUUUUUCUUUCUUUUUCUUUUGCCACUUAAUGUGGAAAUAUUUUUAACAACAAUAACAAAAAACAAUGCCUGUAGAUAUAAUUUUCUUCACAAUCUCUCCUUGUAUCAUUCUGGCUUAACAGACAAGAGAGAAGAUGCAUAUGCUUUUUAAAGCAAACUCGUUAAUUAUUUUAAAUGCAUUUGACUUCUGAAAAGUUCUGAAAGUUCAUUUGAUAUUGUGGUGAAACACCAAGCUAUUACUUGUCUGCUCAUUUGCAACUUAGCCUCACUGCCUCAGUUCUUCCCACCAUGUUUUUCUUCUCUUCCAUCUCUCACAGCGCUCUGUUUAUUAUUCUUCCAGCUUAGUUGUCUUCUUUCCUUAGCCAUCAGUAUGUCAGUUAUACUUAAAUGUCAAAAAGAAAGUAAACAUAAACAUCAGUUAUCAAAAAUUACAUGCUCUGUUUACAUAUUCCUCAACAAAAAGGAUUUUUCCCUCAAUGCAUACAAAACGUGAACCUUAACUAGACACGUGAGUCCAUACUUUCAUUUUCACAUCUGAAAUCUAACGGCUAUGUUGAGUAAUCCACUGUUUACCUGCUAGGCAUGGAGUUCUAACAAUUUAUGAGCAAUACUUAUGAAUCUUUUAAUACUGGAGGUUAUUCAAAUAUAUUUCAAGUACCUUUUUUUUUUUUUUGCAGGAAGAUUUUUUUAGUCUCUCUUCUCCAUACGAAGACUAUAGUAGCAUGUCAGUUACCUGAUCUUUCUGCUUAGUUUUUUCUUUUUUUUUCUCUCCCCAUUCUCUUCCACAUUUUCUUGAUUGCUGAACAAAAUGGUAGGCAUCCCUCCAAAUUAAGAUAUUUUCUCCAUUGGAGAACCAUUGAAGUUCACCUUUAAUUUUGAUACCAUUAAACUUAAUCUUUUCUUUAUUCUUGGAAAAAAUAAUCAAACUUUCACUGAUGUUUGGGAUUUUUUUCACUCUAAUAUCCGAAGGAAGCUGUUAUUUGCAAUCUAGCCUUUUUUCAGCUUAUAAUCAUAUUUUUCUUUUUGGUACAAUUGUAAUGGAUUAUAGACAGCCAUUCUUUUCAUUGGAGGAAAAAAAAAAAACAACGGGUAAAUUGGUUGUUCUCAAGAUUCAUGUUUCUUUGAAUUCAAUAUAAAGCUUUCUCUUUUCAUCUGUUACCUCACAGAGCAUGUGCUGCAAAUGCCCUGAAUAUCUAAUACUUCCUCCUUUUCUUUCUGUUAUGGAACAUUCUUAACUUACUCUUUGUAUUGAAAUAAGUCACCCUCCUUCAGUCAGUGAAUUGACAUACACUGAAUCAAGCAUGACCCCAGCUACAUAUGCCCAUUGAUCUUCCAGUUCCACUUCAGCCUCUGUGCAGAGCUAAGCGCCUGCUGUUGCAGCUGAAGUAGAUGCCUGAGCUCACAAGACUUUAGAAACUUCUUGGUGACUGUUUCAGUGUACCAACAUGGCUCCAUGGAUCAGAUGGUGGGUUGUGUACUGUGUACUGGUUUAGGCAAGGACAGCAUUAUUCUUAGUUAAAAUGAAUUCAAAUCACAGGCUAAUGUUCUCCAUAUAGAUGAUAGGGAGAACAGCUGCUGCCUCGAAAGUCAAAGCAUUUUGCUGUUAGGAUAUCUUCAUGAAGCCAUAUCAGUAUAUUUUUCAUUGUAUGUCCCUGAGAAUAUUUGGGCUCAAGCAGGGUUAGAAGUUGAGUUGCUGAAAUACUGUGGUGAAAGUUGUCAUCAAGCCCUUCCUAGUGUUCAAGCUGUUUUGGUACCUGCUGUCACAAGAUUUUCAAGCUUGUAAACUCAACUCAGACUUAGCCUGAGCUACUCUUUCAGAGAUUUGCAUCUCUCAUAGGCAAUUCUGCUAAAACUGACAGCAGUCUUGCUAAUUUUUGCCAAUCAUGGCAGACUGUUUCAGUGGGUUUUUUUAUACUUAAUAUAAAGAUGGUUGACUGGAUUCCUGUAUGUUCAUUUUUGAAGACACUGAACUUUUUCCCACAAGUAAAAUUACAUAUCUACUUAACUUUCUGUCUAAAAUCUUUCCAGUUAUCUGCAAAUGUGAUUACAUUGCAGCUGUGUGCAUAUACCAAAUUUUGUUCUGCCAGGCCAUAGAAAGCCAUUGUGGUAUCCCACCAUGCUUCAGCCUGCCACUUAAAUACCUAUAGCACAUUCCAGUCUCCUCAGUAGACUUAGUGUGAAGCUGGGCUGCAUUUAUUUUGCAUUUCUUUGCUGGUGUAAGAGGACUGCAGAAUUGAUGAGGAAUGUAUGAAGGUGAGAACAGAACAUGCUGAGCAAUGGUAAUCUCUGGCUGGCCAGUGACCCCUCUGGGUACCGUUAUCAUCCAGUGUAAUUCGGAGCAGCAGUAAUAAUUCAUGUCUGGCUUGGGUAUAGAGGCAGAAGAAAGGGAACACAUGACUUUCUUCUAUGACUUACUGCUCUGUAAAAGGAUUUUAAAGAAUCUUUGGGGAGAAAUUUAGGUCUCAGAUGCACACAUGUGGAUCUCAUUGAUUUCAUAGGAGACCAUGCGAGUGUGUACAUUAACAGACAGAAUAUAGCUUUUGAUCUUUAAGAGCAAUUAAUAUAAAAUAUGGAAUUACACUACUGUGUAAUAGGAUAUUUUUUACUACUUUGUUAAAAGUACUCCCCAAACCCAAAUACAAAACAACGUAACAUCCCAGGCCAAAGUCUUGUAAAGGCAUGUCUCCACCAACACUUGUCACUUUCUGAUGCUGCUUGUGUGUUUGAAUGUUAGGCUUUGAACUUCAGUAAAACAUUUGUAUUUAAUAAAAAACAAGACUUCCUGUCCUCACAUCUGUCCAAGCCGUUGAGUGGCCUUACAGUGGAAGGUGAGAGUUAACUGUUGUGACUCUGCAGGAAUUCUCUUCUGACCCUUUCGUGUCCUUGUGUGAUGUGUUAACAUGCACCCCAAUCACACAAACAUGCAACCAUGGAACACUUAAGAACACAUUUAUGGUUCUGAGACUGCUGGUUACCAAGUACCUAUCACAGCUAAUACCUGAUGGAGGCGAUGAAUUUAAAAAAACACUGUUGGCACAGACCUUGCAAGGAUGUACAUGGCUGGUAAGCUUAGAGGUAAAUAAGUAGAGUCUACACCUUGAAACUAACGUGGUCGCAUCUACCUGUGAAUGGGUAGUAAUAAAAAGCAGUGACCCUCAACUGGAAGCGCUCUUGCUUUCAUUCUGAAUACCUGAAAUGUUCAUUGUAUUGGACUGACAGAUGAAUUCACUGUGAAAUUUGAAGCAGCUUCUGCCUGGAAAGCUUCACACAGAUUUAACCUAAGAAAGGAGGUCCAAAGUGAGCAACAGGCAUUCAAUAAAGCCUGCAACAGACUCUCAGUUGGAGCAGCAAACUCUUCCAACACUUUCUUCAUGAAGUGAAAUAGCACAAUGUGCCUCUCACAGAAGUAGCUUCUAUAAGGUCUUUUCUUGUCUCUUUGUUAACCUGUUGAUUUGUAAAUAAAAGAGAGCCAAUAGGAGUUAUUUUGUCCAAUCUUGGGAAAGUAGGAUUGUUGUCUUGGAACAAGAAUUUACGUGUUUCCAUUUGAAAUAGACUGUGUUCUUCUUCCUUAUACCCUCGCUAUAAAUACAGAAUGCAAUUCUCCUGAAAGGUAUCUAUUGAUCUCUCUGUUUUCUUGGAAAGCCCAUACUUUUGUUCCCGCUUUCCAAUUUAAGUAUCUCAAUCCUUGUCUGAAGUGUUCAAUAGACAUUCACCUUCAGGCACCAGCUGAACCUAGAAAAAUUCAAUCUGAUGUACUAGAUGAAAUUUUGGGAAACUAUGAAUAAAGAAAAACAGAAUAAAAGGGAAAUAUGCAUGCACACUUGCCUAUAGGUGAUACAUCUUAAUCCAUUUCAGUAUCACUCUGUAUCUUACUGUAUUUUUUUUGUGCUAAAGCUCUAAGCCCAAUUGGCUGAUUUUUUUUUUUUUAUGUUGAAUUUCAUAGGUCACCACUGAAGUAGUCACAUUCUGUAAAGAACCAUCUAGCUCAAUGAGUUUUGAUUUUGUUUGUAGUUUUAUUUAGGUGAUUGUAUCAAAUGUCACUUAUUCCAUCUAGGUCUACAUCUAUAAAAAAUUAAUAUUAUUUUUUAUUAAAAAAUUUGCUAUGCAAAAUGGCUUUUUAAACUCCUUCCCUUCAAAGAAAAAUGCUGCCUGUAAAAAUUUGCUGAAAAAAAUGAAGCUCCAGAGAGAUUUAAUAUUAGAAAAAUAUAUAUCCUCUUAUCUAAUGUUCUGUUGGACUACUAGAAAAUGUUCAUUUUGUAGCAAAUUGCUGCAAAUUUAGAAGUGGAGAACAGAAUAUUAUGACUGACUGGUAGAAACGUGUUGGCAUAGCUUGAGACCAUGUAUUACCUUACAACACCCAUCCACUGUCCUCUUUGUAAUUGGAAGGCAGGGCGACAGGUUGCCCAGAGACGUGUUGGAUGCUCCGUUCCUGGAGACGUUCAAGGCCCCGCUGGACCAGACUCUGAGCGACCUGAUCUAGCUGUAGGGGUCCCUGUUCAUAGCAGGGGAGUUGGAAGGGACCUUUAAAGGUCAUCUAGUCCAACUCUAUGGAGCCUAUGAUUAUAUGGCAAGGUAUACCUGCGGUGCUUUGGAGAGAGAACAACCAAAACUAGGAUUAUGCACAAUGUUGUAUUCUAAUGAUCAUUCUUGGAGUAAAAUUCCUGGUAUCUGAGUUCUAUGCUUGCCAAUUACCCUAACUUCUGAUUCAGACAAAUGGAAAUUAAUAAGAUACAACCUUGCAAAGUUUAUUUACUCACAGCAUAUUAAUCUCUUCAUAGUCUAAAUUAUACAGUCUGCAGCAUGAUUUGGCACAUAAACGCGGCAGAAUUAGUUAUUUCACCGAUUCAGUGUACAAUAUUUUUUAGAACACAUAAGAAAACAGUGUUCAAGUAGACUUUGGGGUGUAAAUCUGAACUUGUUAGCUGGAGUUCAGAUGUUCCACCUUGGAAUUAUAUCUCAUUUAACAGAUUAAUUAGAGAGAGAGAUAGUCAGAUGAAACAUUUAAAAAAAAAUAAUAAUUAUCUGUGUUCUAUUGUAUAUAGAAGUGGAGAUAGAAUCUACCCUUAUUCUUUCCCAUCUCCAGGAAGAUUCUAGGUAGUAUUUUGGGUUGGUUCUUUCUUUUAUUCAUAUUAAGAGAAUAAAGUAGAGAAAGCCUCAGGGCAGUGUAAGCCCUGUGGCAGAUUCUCAAAAGUAGUUGCAGAUAGAUAUUUUUUGAAUUUUGUUCCUGGCAUUACAAGUGGGAGAAGAUGCUGAAGGUAGCUUUUCUAAACAUCAAAGGUGCAGAUGAAGUUUACUAUUUUAUUGGAUAUUUAAGUUGGUUGCAGAGUUGUUGUUUUUUUUUUCUUUUUUCCCUGAAAGAUUAGGUCAGCAUAAUUAAAUAUAAGUGUAUAUUAGACAUUUAAAUCUACACCUUCUGGCUGCCUUUAUGCUCAGCAUUCAGUUGGUGCCAAAAGCUUGUUUCAUCUUGGGUUUAUGCAUCUAAAGUUUAUCUAAGUUUGUUUUCUCUGAAGAAGAGCACGUAUGCAUUGGAGUCCAGAAUGCCCUCCACUCUUCUGGGAGCUGUAUUUGCUCCUUGCUGUUUGACAGAGGUAGGAUGAGCCAUUUGUAUCAUCCCCAUAUAUUGAGUGAAUCAGGGAUGUUUGGAUCUGUGGUAAAAAAUAAUGUCAUCCAAUCCCGGUUUUCAUUUUGAUGCUCAAAGAUGACAUCAAAGCUCAAUACUAGGGAGGAAUAUCCUCUUAAUAAGGAAGGGAUGGGGGGGGAGGAGGGGGUGAAGUCAGCCCUUCACUUCUCAGUGAUUGGGAUUCACUGUGUUGUUGCUGGGUGGAAUAGAGUAAUGCUGUUGCUGCUCCUGCUUCUUCACAGUGAUGUUUCUGUUCCAGUUUUUGCUGACUCAUAUUCAGGAAAACAUGAUGCGCAGACACAAUGCACUGUAACUCUUUUUCUUUCCCCCACUAACCUCGGUAAGUAUUCUUUUUUUCCUGUCUAUGACUAGCAUAGUACUAUUAUUGCUCUGCUGAUAGAGUUGGUAGGAGGGGAAAAGGCAACCUUGUAAACAAACUGCUAGCAGACAGAUUAAUCUCAGAGAGGGCAUUUAAAUGAAACCUGCUGUUUGUGGUACAUCCACCUCUUUAGGGCAGAUCAAUCCUGAUAACUCACCCAUCUCUAUGAACUACACUUGCUAGAGCUGUGUUCUUAAAUGGGAGAAGUGCUUACAAUAGCCAUUUACAACUGUAUUCUGUUUAAUUAGUCAGCAAAGCCAGUGCUGCAGGGAUAGAUCACUUUGCUUUAAAGAUUUGAGAAUGUUAAUAGUACAGUAUAUCAUUUUAAUUAUUAUUGGAUGAAUGUUGUGUCUCGAAGAACAUCCAAUGCAAAUCACAAAAAAUGGCCUGAAGUGACCCAAGGGUUGUGCUUUAUUAGAAAAUUAAUAGGUCCAUUGGUUAAAUACAAGGAGAGGUUCUUACUUCAAAUGUCACUCUGCGUAGGUCUGCUGUAUGUGUGCCUGUGUGUAUGUGGAAAUGAAAUCCUCUUGCUUCCACUUUGUCCACAGAAAGUUUCUGUAUUUCGAAAGAUUCUUCCCAGAAUGCUCCAGAGUAUUUUCAGUGCGACACGUAGCCCAGGACUGCAUGAAGUCAUGUCUUCUUUCUUUUGAUCUCUAAUAAGGUUUGUAGAGACCAGGCAAGCUUUAAGACAUCUAGAGUUAUCUCUGCUCUGAGAUUAAAAUGGAAAACACUGAAGUACGGGCUAGA
ensembl:lncRNA